UGCCACUCGGUGUUUGCAUUGAUGAUUCGGGCAAAAGAAGGCAUGAGGUUGCUGGCCUGGUCUGGGGUAUAAAGGAGAACCCUUAAUGUCCUCCCCAUCAGUCUACUGGAAACCCGCAGCUCGCCAACAUGAAGUUCUCCUUGUUCUUUUUGGUGGCUAUGGCCUGCCUGGUGGCGGUUUAUGCCAUGCCAGGCCCAGUUGCCAUCGCUGGCCCUCAUCCCGAGGCCUACCCUGAUCCUUCAGCUGACCCUCACUGGGGGGGUGGCUAUGGCGGCUGGGGAGGCCACCACCACCAUCACCACGGCCACCACCACUGGGGUUAACUUACUCGGACCGAUUUCUGGACGACAAUGGCAACGGCAAUGAUGGAAACUCCACACGAAUCAGAGAGGGAAUAUUUCUUUCCGCCUUCCCUUAUGCAUCUCGCAUCCAGGGGGGCAAGGGCUAGAAUUUACCUUUGGUUACACUAAAAAUUAAUAACUGAUGGGAAUGUAUUUUUUGUAUACAUAAAUCUUCAUUGGGGAUAACUUUAAUUUCUUACGAAAUAAAGUCUGCACAUUAA